UACGUAGGGUGCAAGCGUUAUCCGGAAUUAUUGGGCGUAAAGAGCUCGUAGGCGGCUUUGCAAGUCGGGUGUGAAAGCCCUCAGCUCAACUGAGGAAGUGCGCCCGAAACUGCAGAGCUUGAGUGCCGGAGAGGAUAGUGGAAUUCCCAGUGUAGUGGUGAAAUACGUAGAGAUUGGGAAGAACACCAGUGGCGAAGGCGGCUAUCUGGACGGUUUCUGACGCUAAGACGCGAAAGCGUGGGGAGCAAACAGG
rnacentral:rRNA from 1 species